rnacentral:rRNA from 1 species
GACGAACGCUGGCGGCGCGCUUAACACAUGCAAGUCGAGCGAGAACCAAGCCUUCGGGCUUGGGGACAGCGGCGAACGGGUGAGUAACACGUGAGUAAUCCACCCUUGGUACCGGGAUAGCUCGGGGAAACUCGAAUUAAUACCGGAUAGCCCAUUAGCCUUUCGGGGCGAAUGGAAAGGUAGCUUCGGCCUCCGACCAAGGACGAGCUCGCGGCGGAUUAGCUUGUUGGCGGGGUAAUGGCCCACCAAGGCGACGAUCCGUAGCUGGUCUGAGAGGACGAUCAGCCACACUGGGACUGAGACACGGCCCAGACUCCUACGGGAGGCAGCAGUGGGGAAUCUUGCGCAAUGGCCGAAAGGCUGACGCAGCGACGCCGCGUGAGGGAUGACGGCCU